rnacentral:rRNA from 1 species
UAACGCGUGAGGAACCUGCCUCAAAGAGGGGGACAACAGUUGGAAACGACUGCUAAUACCGCAUGACGCAUAGAGGUCGCAUGGUCUUUAUGCCAAAGAUUUAUCGCUUCAAGAUGGCCUCGCGUCUGAUUAGCUAGUUGGCGGGGUAACGGCCCACCAAGGCGACGAUCAGUAGCCGGACUGAGAGGUUGAACGGCCACAUUGGGACUGAGAUACGGCCCAG